rnacentral:rRNA from 1 species
GAGUUUGAUCCUGGCUCAGAGCGAACGCUGGCGGCAGGCUUAACACAUGCAAGUCGAACGGGCGUAGCAAUACGUCAGUGGCAGACGGGUGAGUAACGCGUGGGAACGUACCUUUUGGUUCGGAACAACUGAGGGAAACUUCAGCUAAUACCGGAUAAGCCCUUACGGGGAAAGAUUUAUCGCCGAAAGAUCGGCCCGCGUCUGAUUAGCUAGUUGGUGAGGUAAGAGCUCACCAAAGCGACGAUCAGUAGCUGGUCUGAGAGGAUGAUCAGCCACAUUGGGACUGAGACACGGCCCAAACUCCUACGGGAGGCAGCAGUGGGGAAUAUUGGACAAUGGGCGCAAGCCUGAUCCAGCCAUGCCGCGUGAGUGAUGAAGGCCCUGGGGUUGUAAAGCUCUUUUGUGCGGGAAGAUAAUGACGGUACCGCAAGAAUAAGCCCCGGCUAACUUCGUGCCAGCAGCCGCGGUAAUACGAAGGGGGCUAGCGUUGCUCGGAAUCACUGGGCGUAAAGGGUGCGUAGGCGGGUCUUUAAGUCAGGGGUGAAAUCCUGGAGCUCAACUCCAGAACUGCCUUUGAUACUGAGGAUCUUGAGUUCGGGAGAGGUGAGUGGAACUGCGAGUGUAGAGGUGAAAUUCGUAGAUAUUCGCAAGAACACCAGUGGCGAAGGCGGCUCACUGGCCCGAUACUGACGCUGAGGCACGAAAGCGUGGGGAGCAAACAGGAUUAGAUGCCCUGGUAGUCCACGCCGUAAACGAUGAAUGCCAGCCGUUGGGGAGUUUACUCUUCAGUGGCGCAGCUAACGCUUUAAGCAUUCCGCCUGGGGAGUACGGUCGCAAGAUUAAAACUCAAAGGAAUUGACGGGGGCCCGCACAAGCGGUGGAGCAUGUGGUUUAAUUCGACGCAACGCGCAGAACCUUACCAGCCCUUGACAUGUCUAUGACCGGUACCAGAGAUGGAACCUUCCCUUCGGGGCAUAGAGCACAGGUGCUGCAUGGCUGUCGUCAGCUCGUGUCGUGAGAUGUUGGGUUAAGUCCCGCAACGAGCGCAACCCCCGUCCUUAGUUGCUACCAUUUAGUUGAGCACUCUAAGGAGACUGCCGGUGAUAAGCCGCGAGGAAGGUGGGGAUGACGUCAAGUCCUCAUGGCCCUUACGGGCUGGGCUACACACGUGCUACAAUGGCGGUGACAAUGGGACGCUAAGGAGCAAUCCUUCGCAAAUCUCAAAAAGCCGUCUCAGUUCGGAUUGGGCUCUGCAACUCGAGCCCAUGAAGUUGGAAUCGCUAGUAAUCGUGGAUCAGCAUGCCACGGUGAAUACGUUCCCGGGCCUUGUACACACCGCCCGUCACACCAUGGGAGUUGGUUUUACCUGAAGGUAGUGCGCUAACCCGCAAGGGGGGCAGCUAACCACGGUAGGGUCAGCGACUGGGGUGAAGUCGUAACAAGGU